AUGGAUGAGAGGCUCGUGCCUGUGACAGUGCCACAUGUGAACAUUUAUGGUGUCCUCCUCAACUGUGCUGUAACAUUAGCUUGCCCAGUGGUGCUAGGUCUAAUUGAUGGAAGUGAUGUCACCCAGACUGACAUACUGUGGAAAGACAAGAGUGACCAUGCAACAAUGAACUGCAGCCACACAAAGGGCUCUUCGUACUACGAGAUGUACUGGUACAGACAGCUGCCAGGAGAAACUAUAAAACUACUGGUGCUCACAAGAUUCGGCAACGAAGAACAUGACUUUGGAGGUUUAGGCAAAGAAAAAUUUGAAGCCUCCAGGUCUGGCACGGAGAGUGGGACAUUCACAGUGAAGAAUCUGGAGCCAGAAGAUAAAGGAUUGUAUUUCUAUCAUGAUUUUGGAGAUUCCAGCAAAGAUAAAUUUGCAGCCACCAAGCCUGACGCUGAGAGUGGGACAUUCACAGUGAAGAAUCUGGAGCCAGAAGAUAAAGGAUUGUAUUUCUGUGCUGUGAGUCAACACAGUGAUACAGACACAUUCAACAGCUGA